rnacentral:rRNA from 1 species
UAAAGAANCCCACUGGAGUUUACUCUAAUGNNUGUAGGAUAGCUNCAUGCAACGAUCUUACGUCUGAAAGAAAGUCAGCCAACUGGGAACUUGGAACACGCUAGCUCUUACGGAGGCAAGCAAGUGGGGAAUUAUUGACAAUGGGGCACCUGAUCCAGCCAUGCCGCGUGUGUGAAGAAGCCUCCGGGUUGUAAAGCACUUCCAGUGGGAGGAAGCUAAGUAGUUAAACCUGCUUGGAUUGACGUUACCCCAGAAGAAGCACCGGCUAACUCCGUGCCAGCAGCCCCGUAAUACGGAGGGGCAAGCGUUAUCGGAAUUACUGGGCGUAAAGCGCACGCAGGCGGUUUGUUAAGCUAGAUGUGAAAGCCCCGGGCUCAACCUGGGACGGUCAUUUAGAACUGGCAGACUAGAGUCUUGGAGAGGGGAGUGGAAUUCCAGGUGUAGCGGUGAAAUGCGUAGAUAUCUGGAGGAACAUCAGUGGCGAAGGCGACUCCCUGGCCAAAGACUGACGCUCAUGUGCGAAAGUGUGGGUAGCGAACAGGAUUAGAUACCCUGGUAGUCCACACCGUAAACGCUGUCUACUAGCUGUUUGCGACUUUAAGUUGUGAGUAGCGAAGCUAACGCGCUAAGUAGACCGCCUGGGGAGUACGGCCGCAAGGUUAAAACUCAAAUGAAUUGACGGGGGCCCGCACAAGCGGUGGAGCAUGUGGUUUAAUUCGAUGCAACGCGAAGAACCUUACCUACACUUGACAUGCAGAGAACUUUCCAGAGAUGGAUUGGUGCCUUCGGGAACUCUGACACAGGUGCUGCAUGGCUGUCGUCAGCUCGUGUCGUGAGAUGUUGGGUUAAGUCCCGCAACGAGCGCAACCCUUGUCCUUAGUUGCCAGCAUUAGGUUGGGCACUCUAAGGAGACUGCCGGUGACAAACCGGAGGAAGGUGGGGACGACGUCAAGUCAUCAUGGCCCUUACGUGUAGGGCUACACACGUGCUACAAUGGUAUUUACAGAGGGAAGCGAGACAGCGAUGUGGAGCGGACCCCUUAAAGAAUAUCGUAGUCCGGAUCGGAGUCUGCAACUCGACUCCGUGAAGUCGGAAUCGCUAGUAAUCGCAGGUCAGAAUACUGCGGUGAAUACGUUCCCGGGCCUUGUACACACCGCCCGUCACACCAUGGGAGUGGGAUGCAAAAGAAGUAGUUAGUUAACUUCGGGAGAACGAUUUACCACGUNC